UCAUGACCUGGGAUCUCUUUUUCCUUGCAUUCCUCACUUACUUCUCCGGUAUCACUUCCUUACCAAGCUGGAUUCAGCCUGCCUCCGAGUCUGUGUCCCUGGGCCAAACAGCCAAGCUCUCCUGCACUGUUAGUGGUACCCAGUAUGCUAUUUACUGGUAUCAACAGAGAGGUGGGCAGAAGCCCCGCUAUCUCCAUUAUGCUGGUGGCAGCAGGGGAGAAGGGAUUCCAGAUCGAUUCACUGCAACUGUCUCUGGGAACAUUGGCUACUUGACCAUCUUGAAUGUUCAGGAAGAAGACGAGGGUGAUUAUUACUGCGGCAUGUGGUAUGAUAGCAGCAACUGGAAGUAUAACAGUGGUAAAGUCUGA